UUAAACUGCAAAUUGGAUUCAACGUUGAACAAUCUUUUUUCAAACCUACUUUCAACUUGGAAUAUUGAAUUAGAAAAUGCCUGACGAAUACGGAAAUGCUUGAAAGAUUUGGGAACAUCCAAAUACUGGAAACGGCGAAUACCUUGGGUACUGGGGUCCAAAUUGUGUGUAGCAGCAAUUAUGGAAGCAUCCUCUCGAGAAGGGAUUGUAUCCACCGUUGAAUUUCCCUGUGACUUGUUCAUUUGUGGUGCGUCCCCGCGAAACGAGAACCACGUGAAAACCUGUCAAUCCGAGUAUUGGAAUAAAUAGAAGUGUAACUACUCCCAUCAGUACCAUCCUGUAUGAUUGAAAUAGAAGGUCACAUCGACGAGGCAAGAGUGACAUAAAGUCGAGUUAAGGUAAACAGAGUCAAAGAUUAUUGAUAAGAUGCAAAGCAAUCGUUGGUUCAUAUGUGUAACAAAAAAGAACUGCUGCUCGUUGUUAAUCAUUACGUAAUAUGGUUAAGGAUACGCGACUGUCGUGUCGACCUCUCCCAGUUGUUGCUUGUGCUCGAGUACAAAGUACAAACAAAGUCCAAAGAUGCUGAGCAUGUGAAAGCUCAACGAGAGAAGAAAGAAAAAGAAGAAUCUGUAGUUUCUUCUGCCUAUACAAUUGUUCACCCAUGGGCAAUGGUGAUCGAACGUCUGAAACACGAAAUGAAAUUAUUAUACAUUUUGUAAAGACAAAAUAGGAAAGUAGUUCAUUUAAAAAAAAAACACCUUUUUUCGCGGAUAUUUUCAAAGUAUUAAAUCAGUCAAUUUAAAAUGAAAAUCUGUGUAACUUUACAAUUUUUGUUGCAUUUACAUUUCUCAUAAAUAUGUAUGUUUUUCAGCCAAGAAAUUUGUGUUGGAAUAUAUACAGAAUUUAACGUUAAUCGAAAAUUGUUUUUCUUGUAUGGAAAUAGCUUUACAAAAAAUUAUUAUUCUGGAAUAGUGACACAGAACUAACAGCGUUCAUGUCUAAAAUUUUCCAACAGAUGCCACACAUGGAAGAACGCAAAGAAAUUUAACAUUGUAGAAAAACUUGACAAUGCAACUGGCAAAAAUACAUGAAACUUUUAAAAAAAAUCUAUUACUAAAGAAUGUUAAUAAUAAUAUAAAUACAAAAGUGUAAGUUUUAAAUAGUAUUUUGGUAUAAAACUAUUAAAGAAUGCAUAAAAUUUUGGUCAAUCGUCAAUCGCUGGACAUUGUUACCAAGGUGAAAUCCAAGAUAAUGUAAAAUAUGAGAAAUUACCUCUAUGCAAUGAUCACAUACACUGCAGUGGGAACAACGUGGUGGCCUGUAGAAUUUACAGGUUACGCACCAUUUCAUGCGCACCGUUAUACCAUUUAUUUCUACAUUUUUAAAUAGCGGAGCUCUGAUGUCAUCUUCCCGAUCUUCAUCUGGAGGGGCUUCAAAAAGAAAAUUCAAUCCAGUCUAAUGAUUUCAAAAUAAGUUCGCUGAUUAAUUAUAAUAAAGCUUCUACGUUGCCUGCAUUGAUAGUGACUCGAAAUGACAAUAACAUACUGCGCUCUCUUUUUUUCCUAAAAGAUAUCUACUUUAGGACGCACCGAUGUUUUAACGCAUACCCAAAGAACAGUAACCUAAAAAUCUUGUUACUCUCUAUUUGUUAUCAACUCUAUAUCUAUGCUUCAAAAAUUUUAUCAGAUUUGAUGAUGUUUUGAAUUCAAAGACAUUUCAUACAUUGUAUUAAUGAUGUAUGUUUUGCAACAGUUGAACUUCAUAGAAGGAAAACUCAUUCUUUUGUACCCAAUACAAUAGGAAAUGUUAAUGUUAUAAAUAUGAUUGUUUAAAUUCGUAAGAAAAUGUUUGAUAUAAAAACCUUAACAGAAAAGAAAAUGAUGUGAAAGAGAACAUUUUGAUUCCUAAUACAAUGAUUUGUAUAUUGGCAUAUCAAAUAAAAUAUCUGUCAACUCCUUUGCAUUACUUUAA
rnacentral:lncRNA from 1 species